ensembl:miRNA
GCGGGACGCUGCGAGCCGAAGGGGUGGGCGCUGCGUGGGUGUCCGCGGUCACCCGGCGCGCGGUCCCUCGGCUGCCUGCCUCGCGC